UACAGAGGGUGCAAGCGUUAAUCGGAAUUACUGGGCGUAAAGGGCGCGUAGGCGGCCUUCUAAGUCAGACGUGAAAUCCCCCGGCUUAACCUGGGAACUGCGUCUGUGACUGCAUAGCUAGAGUACGGUAGAGGGGGAUGGAAUUCCGCGUGUAGCAGUGAAAUGCGUAGAUAUGCGGAGGAACACCGAUGGCGAAGGCAAUCCCCUGGACCUGUACUGACGCUCAUGCACGAAAGCGUGGGGAGCAAACAGG
rnacentral:rRNA from 1 species